UGUGUACAUUACUUCAAUAGUCUACGGUUUCUCCUGCUCUGGAACUGUACAGACUAACCAGGACCAGAUACUGAGGCAAGAAAUGUCAGUAGGAAGAACAGAAUGAGAAUCUGCUUAUUCAACAACAUUUUGUGCUGGCUUUAUUUUUGAUGCUGGGGAUUCAGUGAUGAUAAAAUAAAAGUACGCUUGCAAUGGAGCUUACAGUAUUGUGGAGUUCAAGAAAUAAAAAUGUUAUUUUAUGUUUCUAA